AGAUUGAACGCUGGCGGCAUGCCUUACACAUGCAAGUCGGACGGCAGCAUGGGCUUCGGCCUGAUGGCGAGUGGCGAACGGGUGAGUAAAGCAUCGGAACGUACCUUUUGGUGGGGGAUAACGCGGCGAAAGUUGCGCUAAUACCGCAUAGUAUUCUGAGGAAUAAAGCAGGGGACCGUAAGGCCUUGCGCCAUGAGAUCGGCCGAUGUCGGAUUAGCUAGUUGGUGGGGUAAAGGCCUACCAAGGCGACGAUCCGUAGCGGGUCUGAGAGGAUGAUCCGCCACACUGGGACUGAGACACGGCCCAGACUCCUACGGGAGGCAGCAGUGGGGAAUUUUGGACAAUGGGCGGAAGCCUGAUCCAGCCAUGCCGCGUGAGUGAAGAAGGCCUUCGGGUUGUAAAGCUCUUUCGGUGGGGAAGAAAUCGCAAUGGUUAAUACCUAUUGUGGAUGACGGUACCCGCAUAAGAAGCACCGGCUAACUACGUG
rnacentral:rRNA from 1 species